rnacentral:rRNA from 1 species
UACGAAGGGGCUAGCGUUGUUCGGAAUUACUGGGCGUAAAGCGCACGUAGGCGGACUUGUCAGUCAGAGGUGAAAUCCCGAAGCUUAACUUCGGAACUGCCUUUGAUACUGCAAGUCUUGAGGAUGAGAGAGGUAAGUGGAACUGCGAGUGUAGAGGUGAAAUUCGUAGAUAUUCGCAAGAACACCAGUGGCGAAGGCGGCUUACUGGCUCAUUUCUGACGCUGAGGUGCGAAAGCGUGGGGAGCAAACAGG